AAAACGACUCUCGGCAACGGAUAUCUCGGCUCUCGCAUCGAUGAAGAACGUAGCGAAAUGCGAUACUCGGUGUGAAUUGCAGAAUCCCGUGAACCAUCGAGUCUUUGAACGCAAGUUGCGCCCCAAGCCGUUAGGCCGAGGGCACGCCUGCCUGGGUGUCACGC
rnacentral:rRNA from 1 species